UACAGAGGUCUCAAGCGUUGUUCGGAUUCAUUGGGCGUAAAGGGUGCGUAGGUGGCGUCGUAAGUCAGGUGUGAAAUUUCGGAGCUUAACUCCGAAACUGCAUUUGAUACUGCGGUGCUUGAGGACUGGAGAGGAGACUGGAAUUUACGGUGUAGCAGUGAAAUGCGUAGAUAUCUGGAGGAACACCGGUGGCGAAGGCGGCAUUCUGGACUGUUUCUGACACUGAAAGACGAAAGCCAAGGGGAGCAAACCGGGG
rnacentral:rRNA from 1 species